UACGUAGGGGGCAAGCGUUGUCCGGAAUCAUUGGGCGUAAAGAGCGUGUAGGCGGCCAGAUAAGUCCGCUGUGAAAUCUCGAGGCUCAACUUCGAGCUGUCGGUGGAAACUGUCUGGCUAGAGUCCGGAAGAGGAGAAUGGAAUUCCUGGUGUAGCGGUGAAAUGCGUAGAUAUCUGGAGGAACACCGGUGGCGAAGGCGGCAUCCUGGACCGGUAUUGACGCUGAGGCGCGAAAGCCAGGGGAGCAAACGGG
rnacentral:rRNA from 1 species